rnacentral:rRNA from 1 species
GAUGAACGCUGGCGGCGUGCCUAAUACAUGCAAGUCGAGCGAACGGACGAGAAGCUUGCUUCUCUGAUGUUAGCGGCGGACGGGUGAGUAACACGUGGAUAACCUACCUAUAAGACUGGGAUAACUUCGGGAAACCGGAGCUAAUACCGGAUAAUAUUUUGAACCGCAUGGUUCAAAAGUGAAAGACGGUCUUGCUGUCACUUAUGGAUGGAUCCGCGCUGCAUUAGCUAGUUGGUAAGGUAACGGCUUACCAAGGCAACGAUGCAUAGCCGACCUGAGAGGGUGAUCGGCCACACUGGAACUGAGACACGGUCCAGACUCCUACGGGAGGCAGCAGUAGGGAAUCUUCCGCAAUGGGCGAAAGCCUGACGGAGCAACGCCGCGUGAGUGAUGAAGGUCUUCGGAUCGUAAAACUCUGUUAUUAGGGAAGAACAUAUGUGUAAGUAACUGCGCACAUCUUGACGGUACCUAAUCAGAAAGCCACGGCUAACUACGUG